rfam:Rattus norvegicus chromosome 1, whole genome shotgun sequence.
UGGCUCAGUGGUUAAGAGCACUGACUAUUCUUCCAGAGGUCCUGAGUUCAAAUCUCAG